AUUGAACGCUGGCGGCAGGCCUAACACAUGCAAGUCGAGCGGAUGAGGAAAGCUUGCUUUUCGAUUCAGCGGCGGACGGGUGAGUAAUGCCUAGGAAUCUGCCUGUUAGUGGGGGAUAACUCGGGGAAACUCGGGCUAAUACCGCAUACGUCCUACGGGAGAAAGUGGGGGAUCUUCGGACCUCACACUAACAGAUGAGCCUAGGUCGGAUUAGCUAGUAGGUGAGGUAAUGGCUCACCUAGGCUACGAUCCGUAACUGGUCUGAGAGGAUGAUCAGUCACACUGGAACUGAGACACGGUCCAGACUCCUACGGGAGGCAGCAGUGGGGAAUAUUGGACAAUGGGCGAAAGCCUGAUCCAGCCAUGCCGCGUGUGUGAAGAAGGUCUUCGGAUUGUAAAGCACUUUAAGUUGGGAGGAAGGGUUGUAGAUUAAUACUCUGCAAUUUUGACGUUACCGACAGAAUAAGCACCGGCUAACUCUGUGCCAGCCGCCGCCGUAACAC
rnacentral:rRNA from 1 species